UUAUAGUGAAAAAGCAAAAUGGCUACGUUGAGUAGGCUUCUGCUUACAACUAAUCAAAAAUUAUUUCAUACAAACGGAUUAUCGGGGAAAUUAUUAACAAAAAACUGCAAUCAUGUGUUCAAAAACCUAGGAUCAAGAAGAUGCAUGUCAGAACAUCACGAAAUGGAGAUAACUCCAAGUCGAUGGCAAUGGCAUAAAACUAAAGAUUGGCUGCACUUUUAUUUCUUUGUGGGUGCGAUACCUGCUGCUGCGUUUGUUUUUUAUAUGAAUGUAUUUAUAGGCCCAGCAACAUUACAAGAAAUACCAGAAGGAUAUACUCCAAAGCAAUGGGAAUAUUAUAGGACCCCUGUUGUGAGAUUUUUUUCAAGAUACUUCUAUCCAAAUAUACAGAUGGAAUAUGAAAAGUUACUUCAUAAGACACAUGUUGCUAAUGUUAAGAGACAAUUGUUUGCUUUGGAGAGACAAAUAGAACUUUUAGUUCGAGAACAUCAGGACUAUAGAUAUUGGUCCUAUUCUCCUAGUAACGAACAUAAUUUAAUAGAAUUACGGAAAAUGAUAGAUGAGACCGUGAAAUAAAAGAAUAUUUAAUAUUUUGUCCUGCAAGAAAAGAUAUUAUGAACAAUUCGAACAACUCUAUGGAAAGAUUAUUUCAGCUUGAAAAGAACGUAUUAUGCAAGAAUUAAUAAAAUAAACAACAAAAUAACUUAGAAAUAAAAUAAUAUACACGAGUUACUAAUAGCAGAAUAAAUUUUCCUUUUGAAAAAUAGAAGUUGUGUCACAUAUAAAAAAAUAUAGCCCUCAAGCGUAAUUAACGUACGACGUAAGUAUACUAUAAAAAUAUAAAAAAUUUAAUUCGUAAUCAAAUCAAAAAAAAAAUUAUUUAUCACGGCUCAAAUAAACUUAACUUUACCCUAUUUUAGUAGAAAAAUCAAAAGCAGCAGACCAUCCUUUGAAAAUUCCAUGAUCGACCAUAAUUCCUUGAACCUUAAUGAACUUAAUCUGGAAUAACAUCUGAUAUCACCAAUGUUGCAUUUUUACAAAUCAUAUCAAUUAUUCUUUAAUAAAAUAUUACACAUAAGGAUGCAAGUAAACGAUGACACGCUCGAUGAAAUUGAGAAACAAUGCGGACAGAUUUCGCAGAAAGAAGGAAGAGACGAAGGAAAGGGAAUCGAUCAAAGGAGCGAUAGAGUUAAAGGGUCAGAGGGAAUCGUUCCGACAAGUGGCAAGAAACAGCGUGAAAAAGAGACCGGGAGACCUCGAGACGUCCCUGGAAGGGUGCAACAGCGAGAAGCGCCGUUUUGAGAGAGGCGCCUUCCCUCCACUAUAAAUGCGAACGCGCCGGCGAAAAUCAUCUCAGUACCAAGUGAGAAGCGAAAAAACCCACGACGGACCUCCUGUGCGAGUGUGUGUACGUGUUUAUGUGUACUCGUGCAUGGGACAGGCUCUCGAUGACUCGGGAGCACGUGUGUUGUACAUCGUUGGUUCACAGGUUGUCGCAAUUUUAACGCGGAAGAAACAGGAAC